AUUGAACGCUGGCGGCAUGCUUUACACAUGCAAGUCGAACGGUAACAGGCCGCAAGGUGCUGACGAGUGGCGAACGGGUGAGUAAUGCAUCGGAACGUGCCCAGUCGUGGGGGAUAACGCAGCGAAAGCUGUGCUAAUACCGCAUACGAUCUAUGGAUGAAAGCGGGGGACCGUAAGGCCUCGCGCGAUAGGAGCGGCCGAUGUCAGAUUAGGUAGUUGGUGGGGUAAAGGCUCACCAAGCCAACGAUCUGUAGCUGGUCUGAGAGGACGACCAGCCACACUGGGCCUGAGACACGGCCCAGACUCCUACGGGAGGCUGCAGUGGGGAAUUUUGGACAAUGGGCGCAAGCCUGAUCCAGCAAUGCCGCGUGCAGGAAGAAGGCCUUCGGGUUGUAAACUGCUUUUGUACGGAACGAAAAGGUUUGGGUUAAUACCCUGGGCCGACGACGGUACCGUAAGAAUAAGCACCGGCUAACUACGUGCCAGCAGCCGCCGUAA
rnacentral:rRNA from 1 species